GACGAACGCUGGCGGCGUGCUUAACACAUGCAAGUCGAACGGAAAGGCCCUGCUUUUGUGGGGUGCUCGAGUGGCGAACGGGUGAGUAGCACGUGAGUAACCUGCCCUUGACUUUGGGAUAACUUCAGGAAACUGGGGCUAAUACCGGAUAGGAGCUCCUGCUGCAUGGUGGGGGUUGGAAAGUUUCGGCGGUUGGGGAUGGACUCGCGGCUUAUCAGCUUGUUGGUGGGGUAGUGGCUUGCCAAGGCUUUGACGGGUAGCCGGCCUGAGAGGGUGACCGGCCACAUUGGGACUGAGAUACGGCCCAGACUCCUACGGGAGGCAGCAGUGGGGAAUAUUGCACAAUGGGCGGAAGCCUGAUGCAGCAACGCCGCGUGCGGGAUGACGGCCUUCGGGUUGUAAACCGCUUUCGCCUGUGACGAAGCGUGAGUGACGGUAAUGGGUAAAGAAGCACCGGCUAACUACGUG
rnacentral:rRNA from 1 species